rnacentral:rRNA from 1 species
AUAUUCAAAAAGCGGAGGAAAAGAAACCAACAGGGAUUGCCCUAGUAACGGCGAGUGAAGCGGCAACAGCUCAAAUUUGAAAGCUGGCCUUCGGGUCCGCAUUGUAAUUUGUAGAGGAUGCUUUGGGUAAAACGCCAGUCUAAGUUCCUUGGAACAGGACGUCAUAGAGGGUGAGAAUCCCGUAUGUGACUGGAAAUGUUAACCUAUGUAAAGCUCCUUCGACGAGUCGAGUUGUUUGGGAAUGCAGCUCUAAAUGGGAGGUAAAUUUCUUCUAAAGCUAAAUAUUGGCGAGAGACCGAUAGCGCACAAGUAGAGUGAUCGAAAGAUGAAAAGCACUUUGGAAAGAGAGUUAAAAAGCACGUGAAAUUGUUGAAAGGGAAGCGCUUGCAAUCAGACUUGUUUAAACUGUUCGGCCGGUCUUCUGACCGGUUUACUCAGUUUGGACAGGCCAGCAUCAGUUUCGGCGGCCGGAUAAAGGCUCUGGGAAUGUGACCUCCACUUCGGUGGAGGUGUUAUAGCCCAGUGUGUAAUACGGCCAGCCGGGACUGAGGUCCGCGCUUCGGCUAGGAUGCUGGCGUAAUGGUUGUAAGCGACCCGUCUUGA